rnacentral:rRNA from 1 species
AUGCAGAUCUUCAGCGUUCGGGUGGCUGACCUGGAAGACGGCCUCCAGUGGCCGCUGCAUGUCCACGGCCUGGUCGCCGCCAGGGACACCUCGGAUCACAAUCGCAACUUCCUCUUCAACCGCACCAGGGAUAACUGCCAGGUCCUCACCCAACAGGAUCCAUACCUACUGCUGACAGGCCCGUCGCGCGCGAUCGUGAUCAUCGACCCGAUCACGAUUGAGUUCCAGCUGAAGGUGAAGAGCAAGAUGUACCCCGAAGAGGACGAGAUGCUGGCCUUUGGGAUCUUCAACUACCCCCAGACCUACCUUGCCACACAUGUGAUCCGCUCUCGUAUCCUCUGCGACCGGUGCACGAUCGAGCUUGCCUAUGCGCCGCUGGACCCCUCGGUCGAGGCGACCGUCAUCGGUGUCCGGAUCAUCGACGGUGUCUGGCCAGAGGGUCUCCGAGGGCGCGUCGUCACCGAGGUCACAACCGUGAGGGAAGGGGAGGUGCUGCUGCUUGACUCCCGGGACGGGAAGAUGCCGAUCAGCCCUUCGACCGGCGUGGUCGAGCUCUCGAGGCGCGUCGUGUCAGUGGACCUCGAGGGGGGGAAGCUGGUUGUCUCCGUGGUGGCGUCCCCUCAGACCGCUGGCAAAGAAGACGGCGAUGAUGGUGGUGGCGCUGCCGUCGUUGUUGCGCGAGGCGAGGCCGUGUUCGCGCCGAAGAGGGCCGGCACGAGCAAUGGCACCUGCGAUCUUGGCUUCUGCAAGGUGGAGGUUGCUGUUGCAUGGUCCCUUGUUUCGAGCUUGUGGAAUGAGCGGCGCGCCCUCGCGAAACUCGCGGAGGAGAGGGCAUGA